CGACAGGUGUCGCUUGAAAAGACUGGGCUUGUCCUUGCUGGUGCAUGCGUCGUCGGCCUCUGGGCAGCAGUUGUUGCCUAAAUUUCCACAAAUAUAUGCCUUGCUGGAGUGCAGUGGUGUGAUCUUGGCUUACUGCAACCUUCACCUCCCGGGUUCAAGUGAUUCUCCUGCUUCAGUCUCCUGAGUAGCUGGAAAUACAGGGUCUUGCUCUGUCACCCAGUUUGGAGUGCAGUUAUGCAGUCUCACACUGCAAGCUCUGCCUCAUGGGCUCAAGUGAACCUCCUGCCUCAGCCUCUCAAGUAGCUGGGACCACAGGUUUACAAAGGAGGAAAACGACUUCUUCUAGAUUUUUUUUUCAGUUUCUUCUAUAAAUCAAAACAUCUCAAAAUGGAGACCUAAAAUCCUUAAAGGGACUUAGUCUAAUCUCGGGAGGUAGUUUUGUGCAUGGGUAAACAAAUUAAGUAUUAACUGGUGUUUUACUAUCCAAAGAAUGCUAAUUUUAUAAACAUGAUCGAGUUAUAUAAGGUAUACCAUAAUGAGUUUGAUUUUGAAUUUGAUUUGUGGAAAUAAAGGAAAAGUGAUUCUAGCUGGGGCAUAUUGUUAAAGC
rnacentral:lncRNA from 1 species